rnacentral:rRNA from 1 species
UACGGGGGGGGCAAGCGUUGUUCGGAAUUACUGGGCGUAAAGGGCUCGUAGGCGGCCAACUAAGUCAGACGUGAAAUCCCUCGGCUUAACCGGGGAACUGCAUCUGAUACUGGAUGGCUUGAGUUCGGGAGAGGGGUGCGGAAUUCCAGGUGUAGCGGUGAAAUGCGUAGAUAUCUGGAGGAACACCGGUGGCGAAGGCGACAUCCUGGACCGGUAUUGACGCUGAGGCGCGAAAGCCAGGGGAGCAAACGGG